rnacentral:tRNA from 1 species
GAUAAGGUGGCUGAGGCAUAGGCAUUAGAUUGUAAAUCUAAUUAUGAGACUUGAUCUUUCUUAUCA